rnacentral:rRNA from 1 species
CCUGCAUUUUCCCUUUUGCCAUGUGAUCCUAAAUACGAUUGUGUUUGAUUUCAGAAGCUAAGAAGGGUCAUGCCUGGUUAAUAUUUAGAUGAGCAGCCACCAGGGAAUACCAGCCAAGU